UACGUAGGCAGCAAACGUUGUUCGGAAUUACUGGGCGUAAAGAGUGUGUAGGCGGUCUUGUAAGUUUUGUGUGAAAUCUCCCGGCUUAACUGGGAGGGUGCGCCGAAAACUGCAAGGCUUGAGUGCUGGAGAGGAUAGCGGAAUUCCUGGUGUAGCGGUGAAAUGCGUAGAUAUCAGGAGGAACACCGGCGGUGUAGACGGCUAUCUGGACAGUAACUGACGCUGAGACACGAAAGCGUGGGGAGCAAACAGG
rnacentral:rRNA from 1 species